CAUUGAAACACUGGUUUCCAUUAGGUCAGCAAAGUUAAGCAACAUCGAGCCUGGUUAGUACCUAGAUAGGUGACCACCUUGGAAUACCAGGGGCUGUAU